AAAUGCGAUAAGUAGUGUGAAUUGCAGAAUUCAGUGAAUCAUCGAAUCUUUGAACGCACAUUGCGCCCCUUGGUAUUCCAUGGGGCAUGCCUGUUCGAGCGUCAUUUGUACCCUCAAGCUCUGCUUGGUGUUGGGUGUUUGUCCCCGUCUCCGCGCGUGGACUCGCCCCAAAGUGAUUGGCAGCCCGCGUACUGGUCCCGGAGCGCAGCACAUGUCGCGCAAACGAGUGCCUUGGUACGGCGGCGUCCAUAAGCCCCUCUCUCACGCUCUUGACCUCGGAUCAGGUAGGGAUACCCGCUGAACUUAAGC
rnacentral:misc_RNA from 1 species